rnacentral:rRNA from 1 species
UUGGAGGGCAAGUCUGGUGCCAGCAGCCGCGGUAAUUCCAGCUCCAAUAGCGUAUAUUAAAGUUGUUGCAGUUAAAAAGCUCGUAGUUGAAUUUCGAGACCGGCUUAUUGGUCGUGCUAUUGUACGUACUGGUAUAAUCGGUUUCUCCUUUCUGACGAACUAUAAUGCCAUUAAUUUGGUGUUAUAGGGAAUCAGGACUGUUACUUUGAAAAAAUUAGAGUGUUUAAAGCAGGCUCACGCUUGAAUACAUUAGCAUGGAAUAACGGAAUAGGACGUUUGAUUCUAUUUUGUUGGUUUCUAGGAUCGGCGUAAUGAUUAAUAGGGAUAGUUGGGGGCAUUAGUAUUCAAUUGUCAGAGGUGAAAUUCUUGGAUUUAUUGAAGACUAACUACUGCGAAAGCAUUUGCCAAGGAUGUUUUCAUUAAUCAAGAACGAAAGUUAGGGGAUCGAAGACGAUCAGAUACCGUCGUAGUCUUAACCAUAAACUAUGCCGACUAGGGAUCGGAUGAUGUUAAUUUUUUAAUGACUCAUUCGGCGCCUUACGGGAAAC